rnacentral:rRNA from 1 species
GGCGUCCUUCGGGCGUCCGAGUUGUAAUCUAUAGAAGUGUUUUCCGUGCCGGACCAUGUCCAAGUCCCUUGGAACAGGGUAUCAAAGAGGGUGACAAUCCCGUACUUGACAUGACCACCGGUGCUCUGUGAUACACUUUCUACGAGUCGAGUUGUUUGGGAAUGCAGCUCAAAAUGGGUGGUAAAUUCCAUCUAAAGCUAAAUAUUGGCGAGAGACCGAUAGCGAACAAGUACCGUGAGGGAAAGAUGAAAAGCACUUUGGAAAGAGAGUUAAACAGUACGUGAAAUUGUUGAAAGGGAAACGAUUGAAGUCAGUCGUGUUCUUUGGACUCAGCCGGUUCUUCCGGUCUAUUUCCUUUGAACGGGUCAACAUCAGUUUUGUCCGGUGGAUAAAGGCAGGAAGAAAGUGGCUCCCUCGGGAGUGUUAUAGCUUUCUGUCACAUACACUGGAGGAGACUGAGGACUGCAGCUCGCCUUUUGGCCGGGGUUC